AGAGGUGGAGAGCAGACUGAGAUCCAGUGAAAAACAGCUGGAAGACCUGAAGACAACAAACACAGAUAUGCUGGUCAGGUUUGGAUACACUGAGGGAAAGCUGGAGCAGCUGAAGAAUCUCUCUGAAGUCCUGGAGGUCAGACUGACAGUCAGUGAGAGACGGCUGGAAGACCUGAAGACAAACAACUCAGGUAACCCAUCAAACUGUUGGACUGACUGAAUAUGUGUUCCAGUUUUAUUCAGUUUGCAGAGAAUCACAAACAGUCUGAUUGUCUUUGAGAACCAAGAA